rnacentral:tRNA from 1 species
GGAGGGGUACUCAAGCGGUCAACGAGGGCAGACUGUAAAUCUGUUGGCACAGCCUUCGUAGGUUCGAAUCCUACCCCCUCCACCA